AGACGAAUGGUCAAACAUGUAAGAAAAAGUCAAUGGCGUCAUCUAUUAAAAAACGAAGGUAGUAUAUGGGAAGUCACUGAAUUCGACCCCAAGAUGGAGUGGUUUGAGCCUACCCGCCUUUGCCUCUUCAACGCUGCCUUCUUCGACCUCCACAAGGAGUACCUCCGUCAAUAUCAUCUCAAUCAAGGUUAUCAAAUCUGAUGUGGGUUACCCUAUCAGCGUCUUCGGUACAGUGCUAGCAAGGGAUCAGUAUGACUAUAGAUGUGUCUAUUUGUUCAGGCGUGGUAGGGACGAUCCCCAGAUCAUCAACUCGCCGGUUAGUAUUUCAUACUAUCUCACAAAUGGGGAUUGAGUUUUUCUUCUUGAACUUUUUACAUGGUUGCAUAAUAUCACCUCACCAUGCAUGGGAUUAUUUUGAGAAUUGUUUGAAAUGUUUAUGAAGUGGUUUGCACGCCUCCACCAUAUAUUCUGCUGCUUUAACUUGUUAUAUACUGUAAGAACAAACUGUCUUGGCUAUAUACCACAAAAAGAUUCAUCAAUCCAUCUCUCACUUUAUGAAAAUAACAAUGACACAUAAUCUGAUUAGCGUGAUGAUAUAGAAGUUGACAGUGCUAAAUGUAUCAAGUCUUGGAUCUUCUAAUGACAUUAACUGAAUUCUCAUAAGUUGCUGAUGAUUAAAUUGCAUGAUCUAGAGUAGUAUAUCUUUGUCAUUUAAUCGGUCCAUACUGCCCAUAAAAUGCAUGAGUUGGCUUUCAUUUUUGUUUGAUCUUUUAGUUAGACUAUGUCUUAUAUUAGUCUAACAAGCACACAUACAUGAGAGACCGACCAAUUUAUAGAAAUUGGGUUUGUGCCAGACUCACCACCACCACCACCAAAGGUUCAAGUGAGCAACUGUUUUGGUUGUAAAGAGUUUCAGCACGUUCCAGGUUUCAAGAUGAAAAGCUUCAAUUAAGUUUCACAGUAACUUGGGAUUCUUGUGAAGAGCAGAUUUCUGGGAGCUUUAUCAUGCUUUAAUGCAAUGGCGCGUAGGUGAUGCUACAACUAGAAUGAUUGGAACACUCGUCACCUGAGAUCUGAUAAGUGUAGUUGGACGAUUCAUUCGAAAUGUUAUAUGGACCAAGCAUCUUAAAUCUCAAAUCGUUCCAAGUGCAAAAUGUAUAGAAUGGAUUGACAUUGAAUUUAAGUAGUUUUUGGAGGUUACAUAUCAAACUAUUGAUCUUUGAAAAUUUUGCACAUACUUGACACAGGCAGUCCUCCAUUGGCAGGACCUCCUAGGUAAGGAAAACAUUGUAUAAGAAUCAGGUUGCAUAUUUGUGAAGAACCUGAUAAAUUGCUACAGCAAGUUCAAA